rnacentral:rRNA from 1 species
AGUGAACGCUGGCGGUAGGCCUAACACAUGCAAGUCGAACGGCAGCACAGUAAGAGCUUGCUCUUACGGGUGGCGAGUGGCGGACGGGUGAGGAAUACAUCGGAAUCUACUUUUUCGUGGGGAUAACGUAGGGAAACUUACGCUAAUACCGCAUACGACCUACGGGUGAAAGCAGGGGAUCUUCGGACCUUGCGCGAUUGAAUGAGCCGAUGUCGGAUUAGCUAGUUGGCGGGGUAAAGGCCCACCAAGGCGACGAUCCGUAGCUGGUCUGAGAGGAUGAUCAGCCACACUGGAACUGAGACACGGUCCAGACUCCUACGGGAGGCAGCAGUGGGGAAUAUUGGACAAUGGGCGCAAGCCUGAUCCAGCCAUACCGCGUGGGUGAAGAAGGCCUUCGGGUUGUAAAGCCCUUUUGUUGGGGAAGAAAAGCAGCAGGUUAAUACCCCGCUGUUCUGACGGUACCCAAAGAAUAAGCACCGGCUAACUUCGUG